AAUGAUCUUUACUCCUCACCAUCCCAUUUUACAGAUGAAGUAAAUCAUUUUACAGAGAUCCCGCCCAAGGUCACACAGCUGAUCGAUGGUGGAGCUGGGAAUUGAAAGCAGUUGUGUCAGACUCUGGAUCGCUUUCUAUUACAUCGGGCUAUCACAGAAGAGAAGCAGAGAAGUAAAAACGGAGGAUAGGCCACCGUGAAGUUGUGAUGUCAUCUUUCAAAAAGCUUGGAUGUGAAGAAAAGGGGCAGGAGUGGCCACAGGCGUGCACCCUGGCGCCUUCAGCUGAGGUGGUACAUCCUCCGUUUACCCCAUUUUUGGGGUGCGUGUGGAGUGAUGGAAGUUGUAAGACCCUGCAGAGGGAAUACAAGUGAAAUAGGGUCCUGAACUCUGCCUGAAGGAUACUGUGAUCUACCCGCAAGAUUCA